rnacentral:rRNA from 1 species
UACGGAAGGCAGCAGUGGGGAAUAUUGCACAAUGGGCGCAAGCCUGAUGCAGCCAUGCCGCGUGUAUGAAGAAGGCCUUAGGGUUGUAAAGUACUUUCAUCGGGGAGGAAAAAACAAAACUAAUAAUUUUAUUUUCUUGACGUUACCCGAAAAAGAAGCACCGGCUAACUCCGUGCCAGCAGCCGCGGUAAUACGGAGGGUGCUAGCGUUAAUCAGAAUUACUGGGCGUAAAGAGCACGUAGGUGGUUUUUUUAAGUUCAGAUGUGAAAUCCCUGGGCUUAACCUAGGAACUGCAUUUUGAAACUGAAAUACUAGAGUAUCGUAGAGGGAGGUAGAAUUCUAGGUGUAGCGGUGAAAUGCGUAGAUAUCUGGAGGAAGUACCUGUGGCGAAAGCGGCCUCCUAAACGAAUACUGACACUGAGGGUGCGGAAAGCGUGGGGAGCAAACAGGGAUUUAGGAUACC